GUCCAACUGCUGAAAUCUGAGCAAGAAUAUCAGAAAAAUGUGAUUUCAUUACAUGAUUGCUGAUUUUAGCUUUUUCAAUAUCCUCUACAGGACAGCUGGUCUAUAAGGUGGCAUUCCUCAAAUCCAAAAAAAACACACACAACAUACAGUGAGUUACAAAUUCUUUUAUUUUUUAAACCCAAAAGCACAAUCUAUUUUUAAACCUUUAAAGUGAUAAAUACCUAUUUAAAUAUACCUUCAAAGUCUUUUUAACCAUUUCCAAAAAACAGAUGAGUGUGAAAAAUGAGUAAUAACCAAACAUUAUGAAAUAGAUUUUUGUUCUUGAAUUACUUUUUUAGAGAAUCUGUCGGGGACUUGAUGACACUGGUGUUGGAGGAGAUGUUUCAGGAACCAGAACCAUUCAUGGAAGAGCUGCAGAAAAUACCUGGCUCUCAAAAGAAGGAGUGGUGGCUCGACACAUGUCCAGGUGUAGUCAAGGGGCGGGCCGAAGCCAAAAUACUGUCCAGUCGGGUCAGGAAACUCGAGGCGUAUCCUCAGGAUGACACACGACAGGAUAACUACUCAGCAGUUGUGUCCCCGAGUAUCUCCAGCACCGGCUCACAAAGCUGCGAUGAGCUGCCAAGUGUCUGCACAGCCUGUAUGGAGACAAUAUAGUUGGAUGUAAAAAUGUUACUUCUCAUUGUAUAUUUACACGUAUAGUUCUACACAUUUAAAUGUUUUUUUAACCUAAACUGAGAAUAAAGAACUUUCAA